rnacentral:rRNA from 1 species
AACGAACGCUGGCGGCAUGCCUAACACAUGCAAGUCGAACGAGACCUUCGGGACUAGUGGCGCACGGGUGCGUAACGCGUGGGAACUUGCCCUUAGGUUCGGAAUAACUCCCCGAAAGGGGUGCUAAUACCGGAUAAUGUCUUCGGACCAAAGAUUUAUCGCCUUUGGAUGGGCCCGCGUUGGAUUAGCUAGUUGGUAGGGUAAAAGCCUACCAAGGCGACGAUCCAUAGCUGGUCUGAGAGGAUGAUCAGCCACACUGGGACGGAGACACGGCCCAGAAUCCUACGGGAGGCAGCAGUGGGGAAUAUUGGACAAUGGGCGAAAGCCUGAUCCAGCAAUGCUGCGUGAGUGAUGAAGGCCGUAGGGUUGUAAAGCUCUUUUACCCGGGAUGAUAAUGACAGUACCGGGAGAAUAAGCUCCGGCUAACUCCGUG